GAUGAACGCUGGCGGCGUGCCUAAUACACGCAAGUCGAGCGAACGGACGAGAAGCUUGCUUCUCUGAUGUUAGCGGCGGACGGGUGAGUAACACGUGGAUAACCUACCUAUAAGACUGGGAUAACUUCGGGAAACCGUAGCUAAUGCCGGAUAAUAUUUUGAACCGCAUGGUUCAAAAGUGAAAGACGGUCUUGCUGUCACUUAUAGAUGGAUCCGCGCUGCAUUAGCUAGUUGGUAAGGUAACGGCUUACCAAGGCAACGAUGCAUAGCCGACCUGAGAGGGUGAUCGGCCACACUGGAACUGAGACACGGUCCAGACUCCUACGGGAGGCAGCAGUAGGGAAUCUUCCGCAAUGGGCGAAAGCCUGACGGAGCAACGCCGCGUGAGUGAUGAAGGUCUUCGGAUCGUAAAACUCUGUUAUUAGGGAAGAACAUAUGUGUAAGUAACUGUGCACAUCUUGACGGUACCUAAUCAGAAAGCCACGGCUAACUACGUG
rnacentral:rRNA from 1 species